ACAAAACAUGGAAGCUACUAGAUUUUUCCCACACACCCUUUUCUCAUUCUCUUUCCCGUAUUCCUCUUUCCUCUUUGUUCUUUCAUGUCACCACUUCUUCCUCUUCCAAAUUUUCUACUUUUUCCUUCAAAUCAUCAAUUUUCUUCCUCAAAUCGAACACCCAAAAUAAAUAUUAUGCAUCUAAGCAAGCUAUUUCAUAGUACAAGCUCUAUUUGGUAGAAUUUUGGGAUUUGAGUUUGUGCCUUGGGAAAGAAGAGGAAUACCCAUAUAGUGAAAGUUGUUCAUUGAGACUUCUUGGAGAUUCAAAGUCAAGUGCGUAGAAAGUUUGUAGCAGAGUUAAAGAUAUAUCAGUGUCAUUCUUUUGGUAGGUCUCCUAUGUGUAUGAACUGAAUUGUCGAUGUAUCUGCAGCUAUUGGUAGUCUAGAAAUGUUUUGUUUUGAAUUGUAUAAACAUCUAGUUAUGUCACUUUGAGAUUCUGCUGAUAAUACAAGUAUAUAGACAGAAUUCAUAUCUUGGAUAGUAUUAAAAAUUCAAAGGACACUCUGUCGAAAUUUCAUUGGAUAUCAUUUUAAGUGUAAGUCAAUUUGAAAAUUAUUUAAA